UUGAGAAAUACCGAAAAAUAUGAGGCAAGGCCCCUGCCUUCAAAGAGCUUGCAAGUUUUUGGGGGAGACUUAGGCACAAAUUAACCAACAUCUGUUGAGCACUUGCUGCUUGCCAGGACCCUGCCCUUCCCCUCGUGUCUUCCUCCCUUCCAGGACUCACCCCCUCACUUACCCUCCCCCUCACUUACCCUCCCCCUCAAUUCUCACAGCAACCCUGGGAGGUAGGCCUUAUGGUUUCUGUUUUGCAAAUGAAGAACCUGAGAUUGAAGAAGAGUAGAGAUUGGAGGAUCAGAUCCUGAGAGGUCCCAUGUGCUUUCCAAUAACAGUUCAGUAUAUUAGAAGACAGUGUGGCAUCCACGGCCAAGUACUACUAGUUGAUAGACUGGAUGCUGCUAUGGUAAUCUGCCUCAGGAAAAUGCCGGACUGUUGUUUGCAAGCUGGUUAAGUGAGCAAAUCUUGGGAAGAUUUCAAGUUUUUAUCUUCAGGAAACUCCCAAGCAUUCUGGAAGCUCUGCAUGUGAGUAAGAACCACUGCUGUUGCUGUUGCUGUAGCUGCCUGAAUCUAUGGCAAAAAGCCAGGAAAAAAAAAUUGCUUCACACCAUGUGCACCGACUCCCCUGGAGCUGGCACCACCAGGGCGUC
rnacentral:lncRNA from 1 species